CGCCCGCCGGUCUCGUCGCCGGCGCAACUGCGGGCCUCCCUUCUGAAUCCGUAUCAAACCUAUGAAGCGAAGUUGCCGAAGUCAAAAACGCGGCGUACGCCCCGGCCGCAACCACCACCGCCCACCUGGCGGACGCCCCGCCUGUGUCGCACCUACAGCAUCAUAACGCCCCGCUCCAAGCCGCCAGAGCGCCGCUCGCACACUGCCGACCCUCGGAAGUACCGCCACAACCAACCAAAACGUCGACCAAAGAAGAUUUUCGUAGACAAGUCAACUCAAACGCCAGCAUUACGGAGGCCGGAGAUUCUACCUACGUGG